GUCGGAGUUUAAUCAACUUUAGGGUUAAUUGGAGCCACAGAAUCAAGUGUGGGUUCCUGGAGACCAGGGAGGUGAAGGUAGGUCCAGAUAAGAUCUGGACAGAUAAAUGAGUGGACAGCAGCUCCAGCUGAACCAACAGCCUAUGGAUGGAUGGUGAUUCAAGCUCCCUGAAGACAAGCAUAGGUCUAUGACACUUGUGUUACAACUGCAGUGCCAUACUGUUCCCAGGUUCCUGAUGUGUCUAGUACCAGAGAGAUGGGAAGGUCCUAUAGAGUAAGUCUAGUUGCUGCUUGAUUUUCUCUACUGCAAGCAUAACAUAAAGACACCACGUCCUGCCUGCGGUCACAUGUCUGCUCAGCCAAGAAUUAACAGGGUUCUUAGAUGAGCUUGAAGGCUUCGCUGAAAUACAUCUCUCAGAGAUUUAACGUUCUCCAAAAUUGAAACCUUAGCUUGAUCCACAAUCUCUUUAUCCAUUAAUUUUUAGUUUUAGAUUUGCUAUAUCAUUUUCUGUGGAGAUCUUUUGGGGGCCACUUGGCAGGAAUCUGACAUUGGGCCAGGACAAGGAAGUGGGCUUCAGAUAGAAAUUUGACAUGGGCCAUGACGAGGAAGUAAGUUCAGGCAAGAAUCUAAUUUUAGGCCAGAACAAAGAAGUAGGCCUCAUGUAAGAAUAUGAAUUUGGGCUAGGACAGGGAAGUAGGCUCAGAUAUCUUGGUCAUCCUGAUAAUCCCUUCGGAACAGUGAUCACGGGACUUUGUUUAUUGCCUUGCUUGUUCCUUGACUAUUUGUGUUUAUUGUACUGCUUGACCUUAUUACUUGCAUGUAAUUAAAAUGGCAUAAAAGCAGAUUGGGAAAAAAUGUGCCCGCCUCAGCUUCAGAACUGGCUGGGGUCAUGCUACAAUGUUGUCUAAUUGUCUUUUUCCUUUUUAAUCCUCACUCCUGCCCUGAAGAAUCUGUUGACUGACUGAGUGGGCUUAGUCAAUUUUCCUUUCUUUUGGUUCGUUUUGUGGUUAUUUUAUUACAGGCUUAAACUGAGAAUUUAAAUCUGUUUCCUACUUUAAAAAAAUAAAAGCAUUGAAUCCAUAAAUUCCUUCACUGGAUAGCUGUGGCCAAUUGCAGUUACUACCAGCUAAUACUACUAUUGCUAUAGAAAUUCUAAAGAGUGUGCGCCUUCAGCUCUACUUUCUGACUGUUUUAUGUUUUUAGAAGAGCAAUGACAUCUUUCCAUGUGA
rnacentral:lncRNA from 1 species